rnacentral:rRNA from 1 species
UACGUAGGGUGCAAGCGUUGUCCGGAAUUAUUGGGCGUAAAGAGCUCGUAGGCGGUCUGUCGCGUCUGCUGUGAAAACUCGGGGCUUAACUCCGGGCCUGCAGUGGGUACGGGCAGACUAGAGUGCGGUAGGGGAGACUGAAUUCCUGGUGUAGCGGUGAAAUGCGCAGAUAUCAGGAGGAACACCGGUGGCGAAGGCGGGUCUCUGGGCCGUAACUGACGCUGAGGAGCGAAAGCGUGGGGAGCGAACAGG